rnacentral:rRNA from 1 species
GAUCAUGGCUCAGGAUGAACGCUGGCGGCGUGCUUAACACAUACAAGUCGAACGAAGCACUUAAGACAGAUUCUUCGGAUGAAGUUUUUUGUGACUGAGUGGCGGACGGGUGAGUAACGCGUGGGUAACCUGCCUCAUACAGGGGGAUAACAGUUAGAAAUGACUGCUAAUACCGCAUAAGCGCACAGGGUCGCAUGACCUGGUGUGAAAAACUCCGGUGGUAUGAGAUGGACCCGCG